AUGGCGUAACUGCCAAUCAAAGUCAUAACUCAAUACACAGUAACUAGCGUCAUCAACCCAACUUGAAUUCUAUCCCAAAACAAAGAAAUUUGACAUUUUAUUAACCUCUGCAACCUUAUUGUAAAUGAAAUAACAAUUUUACCACAUUUUACUACUGUGUUUCUCUUGAUGUUAUUUACACUCAUCUUAUGAACAGUGGGCUUACGGGGCAUCUACCCCCAGCUCAGCGUUCAGUGAUGUCACUUCAGUAGCCUGAAAUUGGUCAUUCCUCAGUUUACCAGGCUGCUGCACAAAAUUCACUCUCCAGCCCUACUUUGGAGCAAUGAGGAACCCCAGCGUCUUGAUCUGUCGUUUUGGAGCUGCUUCAUGUGGAAGAUGGAUAGGACCAGUUUCAGCAAACCUAGUAUCUGUCCAUUGACAAGAGAUGAUGGAGUUCAAGCAGGUUUGAUGGGGCUUGUCCAAAGAAAUGCAGUCCCAGAGCAGUCUUUUUAG
rnacentral:lncRNA from 1 species